rnacentral:rRNA from 1 species
AUUGAACGCUGGCGGCAUGCUUUACACAUGCAAGUCGAACGGUAACAGGCCGCAAGGUGCUGACGAGUGGCGAACGGGUGAGUAAUGCAUCGGAACGUGCCCAGUCGUGGGGGAUAACUGCUCGAAAGAGCAACUAAUACCGCAUACAAUCUAUGGAUGAAAGCGGGGGACCGUAAGGCCUCGCGCGAUUGGAGCGGCCGAUGUCUGAUUAGGUAGUUGGUGGGGUAAAGGCUCACCAAGCCAACGAGCUGUAGCUGGUCUGAGAGGACGACCAGCCACACUGGGACUGAGACACGGCCCAGACUCCUACGGGAGGCAGCAGUGGGGAAUUUUGGACAAUGGGGGCAACCCUGAUCCAGCAAUGCCGCGUGCAGGAAGAAGGCCUUCGGGUUGUAAACUGCUUUUGUACGGAACGAAACGGUCUGGGUUAAUACCCUGGGCUAAUGACGGUACCGUAAGAAUAAGCACCGGCUAACUACGUGCCAGCCGCCGCAGUAAAAC